UACGUAGGUGGCAAGCGUUGUCCGGAUUUACUGGGCGUAAAGAGCGCGCAGGCGGUCGUGCAAGUCGCGUGUGAAAGCCCCCGGCUCAACUGGGGAGGGUCACGCGAUACUGUUCGACUUGAAGGCAGGAGAGGGAAGUGGAAUUCCCGGUGUAGCAGUGAAAUGCGUAGAGAUCGGGAGGAACAUCAGUUGCGAAGGCGGCUCUCUGGACCAGCACUGACACUGAGGCACGAAAGCGUGGGGAGCAAACAGG
rnacentral:rRNA from 1 species